GAUGAACGCUGGCGGCGUGCUUAACACAUGCAAGUCGAACGGAAAGACCCUGCUUUUGUGGGGUUCUCGAUUGGCGAACGCGUGAGUAAAACGCGUGUAACCUGCCCUUGUCUUUCGGAUAACUUCACGAAACUGGGGCUAAUACCGGAUAUGAGCUUCUGCAGCGUGGUGGGGAUUGGAAAGUUUCGGCGGUUGGGGCUGGAAUCGAGGCUUAUGAGCUUGUUGGUGAGGUAGUGGCUUACCAAGCGUUUGACGGGUACGCGGCCUGGGAGGGUUGCCGGCCACAUUGCGACUGCGAGAGGCACCAGUCGCCAACGGGAGGCAACAGGCGGGAACAUUGCACAAUGGGCGGAAGCCUGAUACAGCAACCCCGCGUGCGUGAUGCCGGCCUUUGGGUUAAAAACCGCUGUCGCCGGUGACGAAGCGUGAGUGACGGUAACUGGUAAAGAAGCACCGGCUAACUACGUG
rnacentral:rRNA from 1 species